rnacentral:sRNA from 1 species
UAAAAGGUCUCACAAUGUAUCACACAACUUGGCAUGGCAGUCAGGGUGCUCUUUGAGAAAGAAGGGUUGGCUGCUAGAAGUUGUGGAAGGAAG